rnacentral:rRNA from 1 species
CUGGUUGGUGGGGUAACCGCUCACCAAGGCGACGAUCGGUAGCUGGUCUGAGAGGACGAUCAGCCACACUGGGAUUGAGAACGGCCCAGACUCCUACGGGGGGCAGCAGUGAGGAAUUUUCGUCAAUGGGGGCAACCCUGAACGAGCAACGCCGCGUGCAGGAAGAAGGUUUUCGGAUCGUAAACUGCUUUUCUGGGGGACGAGCAAGGACGGUACCCCAGGAAGAAGCCCCGGCUAACUACGUGCCAGCAGCCGCGGUAAUACGUAGGGGGCGAGCGUUGUCCGGAGUUACUGGGCGUAAAGCGUUCGCAGGCGGUCUCUUAAGUUCAACGUGACAGUCGUCGGCUCAACUGACGAAGGGCUGGGAAGACUGAGAGACUUGAGGGCUCCAGAGGGACACGGAAUUCCGGGUGGAGUGGUGAAAUGCGUAGAUAUCCGGAGGAACACCAAAGGCGUAGGCAGUGUCCUGGGGAGCCGCUGACGCUCAGGUACGAAAGCCAGGGGAGCGAACGGGAUUAGAUACCCCGGUAGUCCUGGCCGUAAACGAUGACCACCAGGCGUGGGAGGUAUCGACCCCUUCCGUGCCGUAGCUAACGCAGUAAGUGGUCCGCCUGGGGAGUACGGUCGCAAGAUUAAAACUCAAAGGAAUUGACG